CCUGUGCCGAGGUUUUUCUUGCAGCUUCUUUUCCCCGGCUGUACAGGUUGUGAGAAGCUGCAGUAGUUUUAGGCGGAUGAGACGUUCGUUAUGUAAAAAUUGACGAUUCAAAGUGUAACUAUGUUACCUACUGAAUAAAGAUAUUUUUGAAUUUGAAU